GACGAACGCUGGCGGCGUGCCUAAUACAUGCAAGUCGAGCGAGACUCUUCGGAGUCUAGCGGCGGACGGGUGAGUAACACGUGGGCAACCUGCCUGUAAGACUGGGAUAACACCGGGAAACCGGUGCUAAUACCGGAUAAUCCUUUUCCUCUCAUGAGGAAAAGCUGAAAGUCGGUUUCGGCUGACACUUACAGAUGGGCCCGCGGCGCAUUAGCUAGUUGGUGAGGUAACGGCUCACCAAGGCGACGAUGCGUAGCCGACCGGAGAGGGUGGUCGACCACACGGGGACUGAGACACGGCCCAGACCCCUACGGGAGGAAGCAGUAGGGAAUCUUCCACAAUGGACGAAAGUCUGAUGGAGCAACGCCGCGUGAGCGAUGAAGGCCUUCGGGUCGUAAAGCUCUGUUGUUAGGGAAGAACAAGUACCGGAGUAACUGCCGGUACCUUGACGGUACCUAACCAGAAAGCCACGGCUAACUACGUGCCAGCAGCCGCCGUAACAC
rnacentral:rRNA from 1 species